rnacentral:tRNA from 1 species
UGUUCAAGGAUGAGAACCGAACCCACAGUGUUCCGCUUACCGAGCAGAUGCCAUGUCCACUAGGCUACCCUGUAC